rnacentral:snoRNA from 16 species
AUGCAGUCGUUCAGUGGCGCUGGCGAUUUUCUCAAUGCGCCUGUGCCUAAUCUUUGACUGCGAUAUCAUUGUUGUCAUAGUCAAGCGGUCCGCUACCAGUGUAGCAUUCUGUUCAAGAUUUGACUUAUAUUU